GGCUGUUAUGGCGCAUCCGGGGGAGGUAGUUACUUGACCUUGAUUCCUAAUAGCUUACAACUGAGGUGUCUCGUUCGAUCCUGGCGGUCCGCAAUAUUUUCCAUACGAGUAAUCUGUGGGGGAAGGCGAGCAAUAAGACGUGCCACCGCCCAAGGGGAGCAAUCCAGCAGGGAACACGUCCCGCAAGGAGGCGGGUGAGAUAGCAUCUCGUUGGUAAUGGGCUGUUGGUGAACAAAGUUUGACUAUGUGAACCGGCUAUU
rnacentral:SRP_RNA from 2 species